CCUACGGGUGGCAGCAGUGAGGAAUAUUGGUCAAUGGACGAGAGUCUGAACCAGCCAAGUAGCGUGAAGGAUGACUGCCCUAUGGGUUGUAAACUUCUUUUAUAUGGGAAUAAAAUGUUCCACGUGUGGGAUUUUGUAUGUACCAUAUGAAUAAGGAUCGGCUAACUCCGUGCCAGCAGCCGCGUUAAUCCGGAGGAUCCGAGCGUUAUCCGGAUUUAUUGGGUUUAAGGGGAUCGUAGGUGGAUUGUUAAGCCAGUUGUGAAAGUUUGCGGGUCAACCGUAAAAUUGCAGUUGAAACUGGCAGUCUUGAGUACAGUAGAGGUGGGCGGAAUUCGUGGUGUAGCGGUGAAAUGCUUAGAUAUCACGAAGAACUCCGAUUGCGAAGGCAGUUCACUGGACUGCAACUGACACUGAGGCUCGAAAGUGUGGGUAUCAAACAGGAUUAGAUACCCUUGUAGUC
rnacentral:rRNA from 1 species